CCGGAGCUAAUACCGGAUAAUAUUUCGAACCGCAUGGUUCGAUAGUGAAAGGUGGUUUUGCUAUCACUUAUAGAUGGACCCGCGCCGUAUUAGCUAGUUGGUAAGGUAACGGCUUACCAAGGCGACGAUACGUAGCCGACCUGAGAGGGUGAUCGGCCACACUGGAACUGAGACACGGUCCAGACUCCUACGGGAGGCAGCAGGC
rnacentral:rRNA from 1 species